GAUGAACGCUAGCUACAGGCUUAACACAUGCAAGUCGAGGGGCAGCAUGUCGGUUGCUUGCAACCGACGAUGGCGACCGGCGCACGGGUGAGUAACGCGUAUCCAACCUACCCUUGUCCAUCGGAUAACCCGUCGAAAGGCGGCCUAACACGAUAUGCGGUUCACCGCAGGCAUCUAACGUGAACGAAAUGUGAAGGAGAAGGAUGGGGAUGCGUCUGAUUAGCUUGUUGGUGGGGUAACGGCCCACCAAGGCUACGAUCAGUAGGGGUUCUGAGAGGAAGGUCCCCCACAUUGGAACUGAGACACGGUCCAAACUCCUACGGGAGGCAGCAGUGAGGAAUAUUGGUCAAUGGACGGGAGUCUGAACCAGCCAAGUAGCGUGCAGGAUGACGGCCCUAUGGGUUGUAAACUGCUUUUAUAGGGGGAUAAAGUGUGCCACGUGUGGCAUAUUGCAGGUACCCUAUGAAUAAGGACCGGCUAAUUCCGUGCCAGCAGCCGCGGUAAUACGGAAGGUCCGGGCGUUAUCCGGAUUUAUUGGGUUUAAAGGGAGCGUAGGCCGUCUUAUAAGCGUGUUGUGAAAUGUCGGGGCUCAACCUGGGCAUUGCAGCGCGAACUGUGAGACUU
rnacentral:rRNA from 1 species